AGGCCCUGAAGGCGCUUGAAGAGGCCAAAGAGGCCGGGGCUCGUGCUGCGAAGGCCCUUGAGGAGGCAAACGUGUAGCGCCUCCGUUUAGACCAAGUCGUUACCAGCUUGCAGGCUGAUGUUCAAGCCCGGGAGGUCGCGGUUACAGAUCUUACUGCCCGCGUGUCUGCUGCGGAGGGACGUGCUGACUCCGCUGUGGAGGCCAAGGAUGCCUUGGUGUCUUCCCUUAAUCAGUUGGAGGCUGACCGUGAGUGGAUGCGGUCAUGCGGUAUUUCGCGCAUUGUCGAGGCUAUUAUGAAUGCCCCUGAGACUGCCGCUGGUUUGAAUCUGGUCCGGGAUCACGCUCGGGAUGCCGGUUUUAAGGCAGGGUACAACCGCUGCAUUGGUCAUCUGAACGUGAUUACCAAGGGUAGUCAUACGGAUGAGCGAUCGGGGUUCCGUGGCGUGGAUACCGAGUCGCGCCUGAAAGCAGCCGAGGCCUCCUUCUAUGACACGUCCCUUGCCUGUAUACAGGAAUUGGACAGUUGUUUGGAUGCCGCGGACUAUGUAGACCGCUUGCGGAUGCUGUAUCCGGAUGUGGAAGAGGACGACGCUGCUGGUAACGCUAGAGAUGAUGCGGGGACCAGUGGUACAAAAUAGGGUUUAGGUUGGCCGGUGUGCCCCUUUUUUGCUGUCCUCUUGUAUAGAAUAGGAAACCUUAUGUAAAUCUUUGGAAGCAUCAUGUUGGUGCCUUAAUUUUUUGAAUAUAAGGUGUUUUGUUCCAUUAUACAAGUAUUGUCAGUUCUUGUAUGUUUGAAACGUAUGUAUGCGGGUCUCUACCCAUUGUGAAUGGGGUUGAGUAUACUCUAUACUAUUGCGGUAUGAGCAUGUGUCAAUUCCAUUGUUUGCCUUUCUGGGCUCAGGAAUUGUAUUAGGUAAGAAAUAUGUUUAUCCGGUUGGAUAGC